rnacentral:rRNA from 1 species
AACUUUUACAAUGCGGGAAACCGUGAUAAGGGAAUCUCGAGUGCCAGCAUAUAAUGUUGGCUGUCUGGAUGCCUAAAAAGCAUCUGUUAGCAAGAGCCGGCAAGACCGGUGCCAGCCGCCGCGGUAACACCGGCGGCCCGAGUGGUAACCGCUUUUAUUGGGUCUAAAGGGUCUGUAGCCGGCCAAGUAAGUCCCUUGGGAAAUCUGGCAGCUCAACUGUCAGGCUGCUAGGGGAUACUGUUUGGCUUGGGACCGGGAGAGGUGAGAGGUACCUUGGGGGUAGGGGUGAAAUCUUGUGAUCCUCGAGGGACCACCAGUGGCGAAGGCGUCUCACCAGAACGGGUCCGACGGUAAGGGACGAAAGCUAGGGGCACGAACCGGAUUAGAUACCCGGGUAG